rnacentral:rRNA from 1 species
GAUGAACGCUGGCGGCGUGCCUAAUACAUGCAAGUCGAGCGAACAGACGAGGAGCUUGCUCCUCUGACGUUAGCGGCGGACGGGUGAGUCACACGUGGAUAACCUACCUAUAAGACUGGGAUAACUUCGGGAAACCGGCGCUAAUACCGGAUAAUAUAUUGAACCGCGUGGUUCGAUAGUGAGAGACGGUUUUGCUGUCACUUAUCGAUGGAUACGCGCCGCAUUAGCUGGUUGGUAAGGUAACGGCUUACCAAGGCGACGAUGCGUAUCCGACCGGAGAGGGGGAUAGGCCACACGGGAACGGGGACGCGGACAUGACUCCUACGGGAGGGAGCAGUAGGGAACGUGCCGCAGUGGGCGAGAGCCUGACGGAACAACGCGGCGUGAGAGAUGAAGGUCUUCGGAGCGUAAAACUGUGUUACGAGGGAAGAACAAAUGUGUAAGGAACUAUGCACUGCGUGACGGUAACUGGUCAGAAAGCCACGGCUAACUACGUG